rnacentral:rRNA from 1 species
UACGUAGGGUGCGAGCGUUAAUCGGAAUUACUGGGCGUAAAGCGUGCGCAGGCGGCUUCGCAAGUCAGACGUGAAAUCCCCGGGCUUAACCUGGGAAUGGCGUUUGAAACUACGGAGCUGGAGUGUGGCAGAGGGAGGUAGAAUUCCACGUGUAGCGGUGAAAUGCGUAGAUAUGUGGAGGAAUACCGAUGGCGAAGGCAGCCUCCUGGGCCAACACUGACGCUCAUGCACGAAGGCGUGGGGAGCGAACGGG